rnacentral:rRNA from 1 species
AGCAGCCGCGGUAAUUCCAGCUCCAAUAGCGUAUAUUAAAGUUGUUGCAGUUAAAAAGCUCGUAGUUGAAUUUCGGGGUUCUACCGUUGGUCGGGCUAUUGUCUGUACUGGCGUGUAGAAUUUCUACCUUCUGGGGAACUAUCAUGUUAUUAAUUUAGCGUGGUAGGAAGCCAGGACCUUUACCUUGAAAAAAUUAGAGUGUUCAAAGCAGGCUUAUGUCUGAAUACAUUAGCAUGGAAUAAUAAAAUAGGACGGUGGUCCUGUUUUGUUGGUUUCUGAAUCACCGUAAUGAUUAAUAGGGAUAGUUGGGGGCAUUAGUAUUCAAUUGUCAGAGGUGAAAUUCUUGGAUUUAUUGAAGACUAACUACUGCGAAAGCAUUUGCCAAGGAUGUUUUCAUUAAUCAAGAACGAAAGUUAGGGAUCGAAGACGAUCAGAUACCGUCGUAGUCUUAACCAUAAACUAUGCCGACUAGGGAUCGGACGAUGUUAAUUUUUCUUGACUCGUUCGCGCCUUACGGGAA